rnacentral:rRNA from 1 species
AUUGAACGCUGGCGGCAUGCUUUACACAUGCAAGUCGAACGGCAGCACAGGGAGCUUGCUCCCGGGUGGCGAGUGGCGCACGGGUGAGUAAUACAUCGGAACGUGUCCUGUUGUGGGGGAUAACUGCUCGAAAGGGUGGCUAAUACCGCAUGAGACCUGAGGGUGAAAGCGGGGGAUCGCAAGACCUCGCGCAAUUGGAGCGGCCGAUGCCCGAUUAGCUAGUUGGUGAGGUAAAGGCUCACCAAGGCGACGAUCGGUAGCUGGUCUGAGAGGACGACCAGCCACACUGGGACUGAGACACGGCCCAGACUCCUACGGGAGGCAGCAGUGGGGGAAUUUUGGACAAUGGGGGCAACCCUGAUCCAGCCAUGCCGCGUGCAGGAUGAAGGCCUUCGGGUUGUAAACUGCUUUGUUCUAGGGACGAAAAGGAAGUACGUGAUAAUACCAUGGUCUGCUGACGGUACCUG